rnacentral:rRNA from 1 species
UACGUAGGCAGCGAGCGUUGUUCGGAGUUACUGGGCGUAAAGGGCUCGUAGGCGGCCAACUAAGUCAGACGUGAAAUCCCUCGGCUUAACCGGGGAACUGCGUCUGAUACUGGAUGGCUGGAGGUUGGGAGAGGGAUGCGGAAUUCCAGGUGUAGCGGUGAAAUGCGUAGAUAUCUGGAGGAACACCGGUGGCGAAGGCGGCAUCCUGGACCAAUUCUGACGCUGAGGAGCGAAAGCCAGGGGAGCAAACGGG